AUUGAACGCUGGCGGCAGGCCUAACACAUGCAAGUCGAGCGAGCGGCGGACGGGUGAGUAAUGCCUAGGAAUCUGCCUGGUAGUGGGGGAUAACUACUGGAAACGGUAGAUAAUACCGCAUCCCAUCGGACGUGCCCAGAUGGGAUUAGCUAGUAGGUGGGGUAACGGCUCACCUAGGCGACGAUCCCUAGCUGGUCUGAGAGGAUGACCAGCCACACUGGAACUGAGACACGGUCCAGACUCCUACGGGAGGCAGCAGUGGGGAAUAUUGCACAAUGGGCGAAAGCCUGAUGCAGCCAUGCAGCGUGUAUGAAGAAGGCCGUCGGGUUGUAAAGUACGUUCAGCGGGGAGGCGUUACCCGCAGAAGAAGCACCGGCUAACUCCGUGCCAGCAGCCGCGGUAAUUC
rnacentral:rRNA from 1 species